CGGGCCUUGAUCGAUAGGUGACUGAAUGCCAACUGACACCUGGGGGCAUGGCUGGUGCGUUCCUGCAUCGCUACAGGAAGUGACUCCACCUUGAACCCUCUCUCACCCCCAGCGCACUUCCUGUUCUUGGACCUGGCGUCUCUGUCCUCCAUGUGCAGCUACGUCAAGAAAGGUGAGGGAGGGUCCUGGGGGCGGGAUGCAUGGGUGGGGCAGGGCAUAUACAGAGUAGCUCAUCUGUAGUCAGCGUUGGCCGGGUUUGCUCUGGUAUGCAAAUCACCUUGUGAAUAUUCAUGAUUGCGGUGGGUUGGUCUGUUCUGAUAUGCAAAUAUGUUCAUUAAUAUGCAUGGUUAUAGUACUAAGUUAAUAAUCAUGCCCUGCUUUAAUUAGGUAUACAAAUUGACACGGAAAUAUUCAUGGAAAUGUUGGUUUUAUUGGAUAUGCAAAUCAGGUCAUUAAUAUGCACGGAUCACCUCACCACGUUCUGCCAACACUCGUCUCUUAUGUGAGUCAGCGCUCAUUUACAUAUGCAAAUCAUCUCGAGGAUUCUCGGUGCCUACCAGCGCUUCCUGGUUAUGCAAAUCAGAACCUGCAAGAGGGUGCCUGGGCCUCACCGUACCCAGCGGCGUCACGGGAGCUGGAAGAGGUUGGAGGUCUCCACCUGUGGAAUGAGGUGGAGGCAGAAACAGAGCCGGGAUGGGGGGAGGGGCAG
rnacentral:lncRNA from 1 species